GAGGUGAUUUCUAAAGUCUAAGUAAAGGGAACUAUAAUGAAACCAGAGAUCAAAUUUUGAAAGGCAAAUGGCAAAGAAAGAAGAAAGAUCAUUGCCAUUAGACAGAAAGAAAAGUUGUGUCAACAAGGGCCCAGAGGCAAGUUAUGCUGGGCAUGGGGUCUGGCUCCACUCUCAUAAAUUUUAAAAAUGAAGAAUGGGGUAUUUGCAACUCUCAAAAGAAUUUCAAAUACCAGAUGAAGUCCCCAUGACAUGAGGUCUUCAAAGAUGGCCAAAGUUUGGGAAGACUUUGAAAAAGCUGAGGAGAACAAUCAGUGAUUCAAUUAAGACUCCAGAGGAAUUCAUAUCAGAACCAUAUAGGGUUGGGGGAGGCUGCACUCAGGGCUAGCGGAGAGAAGAUGACAAAGAAGGCCUUGCCAGGGAAUUUGGAAAGCCAGACCUGGACUGGCUGGUAACCACAUGGACAUGGUCACCUGCUGAUUCUAUCUGUAAGGCAUGCAUGGC
rnacentral:lncRNA from 1 species